rnacentral:tmRNA from 1 species
GGGGAUGCGUGGUUUCGACAGGGCAGGCAGACGGACCGCCGCGAGCCGAGGAACGCCGUUCCUCCUCGUUAAUCCGAACGGCAGGCAGACAACUGCCAACACUUCUUACGCUCUCGCUGCCUAGUCAGUGAGACGUCCUCCCGGUCUCCGCUCCGCGGGCCGGGAAGGGCGAUAUAAGCGGAGCUGCGGCCCGCCGAUCGGUCGGUAGGCGGGCUCAAGUAAACCGACCUGGCGAGUACGAGGAGCGUGUCGGUGCGCGCCUCGUUCCGCGAGAU